CAAUAGCGUAUAUUAAUGUUGUUGCAGUUAAAAGCUCGUAGUCGGAUUUUUGUGUCAUGUCGAACUGUCUGCCGAUUGGUAUGCACGGUUUGACGGGCAUAUUCCUUCCAGAGGCUCCGUCAGGCCUUCAUUGGUCUGGCGGUUGAAUCUGGGUCUUUUACUUUGAAAAAUUUAGAGUGUUCAACGCAGGCCUAUGCUCGAAUAGCUUAGCAUGGAAUAAUAGAAUAGGACUUCGGUCUUAUUUUGUUGGUUUCUAGGACCGAAGUAAUGAUUAACAGGGACAGUUGGGGGGCAUUCAUAUUCCAUUGUCAGAGGUGAAAUUCUCAGACCAAUGGAAGACGAACCACUGCGAAAGCAUUUGCCAGGGAUGUUUUCACUGAUCAAGAACGAAAGUUAGGGGAUCGAAGAUGAUUAGAU
rnacentral:rRNA from 1 species